rnacentral:lncRNA from 1 species
GGCGAGGAGAAUCCACAAUUUCAAAAAGUGUUGGAGUAGCCAUAGGAGGAGAGGAAGGUGCAUGACAAUCAAAAAUCAAAGUACCAAUAUCUACAUAAAAACUAUUUGUAUUAUCCAAGAAAAUAUCAAUACAAACAAGGUCAGACUUAGAGACUUUAUGAGAUUCAAUAUGAAUAGAAAAGAAAAGUAUAUGCUCAAGGAAGAAGAAGUAAUGGAAGACAUAAAAUUAAAACUAUCAAGGAAAGGGAGAAGAAGAAAAAGAAAAAAGAAGACACAAAACUAAAACCAUCAAGGAA